CCUACGGGAGGCAGCAGUCGAGAAUCAUUCACAAUGGGGGAGACCCUGAUGGUGCGACGCCGCGUGAAGGAAUGAAGGUCUUCGGAUUGUAAACCCCUGUCAUGUGGGAGCAAAUUAAAAAGAUAGUACCACAAGAGGAAGAGACGGCUAACUCUGUGCGAGCAGCCGCGGUAAUACAGAGGAUGCGACGUUUAUCCUGAUUUAUUGGGUUAAAAGGGUGCGUAGGCGGUCCGGAAAGUCAGCGGUAAAAGUCCGGUGCUCAACCCCGGCGGGCCGUUGAAACUGUCGGACUAGAUACGGGGAGAAGUAGGCGGAAUGCGUGGUGUAGCGGUGAAAUGCAUAGAUAUCGCGAAGAACUCCGAUUGCGAAGGCAGCGUACCGGCGUCGGACUGACGCUGAGGCACGAAAGUGUGGGUAUCGAACAGGAUUAGAUACCCGAGUAGUC
rnacentral:rRNA from 1 species